GCUUUGCGGCUGGAUCCCCUCCUUUCUAAGGAAAUUUGCGAAAGCGCCAGCGCCCGUCGUUGGAAGAGCUUCGCAGGUUCCAAAGAACAUUGCCGUCGUCCUCAUGUCCUUCCAUCAAUCGGAAAACAGCACUUUCAGGGUGUUGUUAGUCUGAGCCGGCUCACGCCCCUCGGGCCUUUUGCGGCCGGUGGGACAAAGUGGGCCUGUAGCUCAGUUGGUUAGAGCGCACCCCUGAUAAGGGUGAGGUCAGUGGUUCAAAUCCACUCAGGCCCACCAUUUACCUGUAUGGGGCCUUAGCUCAGCUGGGAGAGCACCUGCUUUGCAAGCAGGGGGUCAUCGGUUCGAUCCCGAUAGGCUCCACCAGGUAUGCGCAGCGCGCUAUGGCGUAGCGGCGCAAUCCAAGACUUCCGAUAGAUGAAACGAAAGAGAUCCGGUCUUUUUGACCGGUCAGGCGGAUCUGCCGCCGACAUUUGACAUUGUGAAUGGGUUUUUAAAUCGAUGCCGUGGCGCAUAGAUUGUUAUGAUGGUCUAGCCGACCCGCGUAACGCCAAGUCUAUGCAUCACAAAUCAAUCAAAUUGAUUAUCUGGCUGAGAUAAUUCCUCCGCAUCAUCGUUAAGACGCAUAGCCGUUAUGCAGGGCUGUCGUUGAUGGUGUGGAUUCUCAAGCGUGAGGUAAGAGCAUUUGGUGGAUGCCUUGGCAUGUACAGGCGAAGAAGGACGUGGCACGCUGCGAUAAGCGUCGGGGAGUUGUGAGCAAACUUUGAUCCGGCGAUUUCCGAAUGGGGAAACCCGAAGC
rnacentral:misc_RNA from 1 species